UACGUAGGUGACAAGCGUUGUCCGGAUUUACUGGGCGUAAAGAGCGCGCAGGCGGUCGAUCAAGUCGAGUGUGAAAGCCCCCGGCUCAACUGGGGAGGGUCAUUCGAUACUGAUCGACUCGAAGGCAGGAGAGGGUAGUGGAAUUCCCGGUGUAGCGGUGAAAUGCGUAGAGAUCGGGAGGAACACCAGAGGCGAAGGCGGCGACCUGGACAGUUACUGACACUCAACUACGAAAGCGUGGGGAGCAAACAGG
rnacentral:rRNA from 1 species